GAUGAACGCUGGCGGCGUGCCUAAUACAUGCAAGUCGAGCGAACGGACGAGAAGCUUGCUUCUCUGAUGUUAGCGGCGGACUGGUGAGUAACACGUGGAUAACCUACCUAUAAGACUGGGAUAACUUCGGGAAACCGUAGCUAAUACCGGAUAAUAUUUUGAACCGCAUGGUUCAAAAGUGAAAGACGGUCUUGCUGUCACUUAUAGAUGGAUCCGCGCUGCAUUAGCUAGUUGGUAAGGUAACGGCUUACCAAGGCAACGAUGCAUAGCCGACCUGAGAGGGUGAUCGGCCACACUGGAACUGAGACACGGUCCAGACUCCUACGGGAGGCAGCAGUAGGGAAUCUUCCGCAAAGGGCGAAAGCCUGACGGAGCAACGCCGCGUGAGUGAUGAAGGUCUUCGGAUCGUAAAACUCUGUUAUUAGGGAAGAACAUAUGUGUAAGUAACUGUGCACAUCUUGACGGUACCUAAUCAGAAAGCCACGGCUAACUACGUG
rnacentral:rRNA from 1 species